rnacentral:lncRNA from 13 species
AGACAUAUAGAUGUUGGAGUAGGGGACUGUUACAGACAUAUAGAUGUUGGAGCAGGGGACUGUUACAGACAUAUAGAUGUUGGAGAGGUUGGAGCAGGGGACUGUUACAGACAUGGUAUUUGGUAUUUGUUUUUAAUUAGGAUCCCCAUUAGCUGUUGUGACAGAAGCAGCAACUCUUCCUGGGGUCCAACACAGAACAUGAACCAUGACAUCAUACGGACAUUAAAAGACAAGAGCAGCUCAAGGACAGAUAAAAAUUCUAUAAAAAGUCACACGUAGCCUACAAAUCAAUGUCAAUACGUACUGUACACACCAACGAGCUAGGUGAUCUUGCUUUAUCUGUUGUUUGAAACCAGGUUUGCUGUUUAUUUGAGGUUGGAGCAGGGGACUGACUUCACUGGGCAUCUGUGAAGCAGUUGUUGUGGGGGGUUUCAGUGCCUUACUCAAGGGCACAACAUCAGGCAACGUUAUCUCGGAUUUUAAAUCAGCAACCCUCUGGUUUUAAGUUCACAUCCCCACAGAUUGUUUCCCUUCCGGUCCUGUUAGACCCGGCAAUCCUCCGGUGGCUGGCUGGCCUCUCUAACCGCUAGGCUACCUUCUUGACCUGUGGGAGGGAACCUCUUACUUUCAGCUCUCACACAUUCAAACAUCUAAUAUCUCAGUGUGGAGAUUCAAAUUAGAGCCGUACAGGAAGAGUCCUGUUAGUUGUGACCGAGCGGCGCAGCGGCCUAAGGCACUGCGUCGCAGUGCUAGAGGCGUCACUAUAGACCCAGGUUGGAUCGCGGGCUGUAUCGCAACCGGCCGUGGUCGACCAUAGGGGCGGCGCACAAUUGUCCCAGCGUCGUCCGGGUUAGGGGAGGGUUAGGCCGGGGUAGGCCAUCAUUGUAAAGAUAAAUGUGUUCUUAACUGACUUGCUUAGUUAAAUAAAUACCCUAUGGCAUUGUCUCAAAUGGUACGAUAUGUAGUGCAUUACUGUUGCCUAGGGCCCAUAGGGAAUUAUAUACGGAAUGAGACACCAUUUAGGAAGCACCCUCUGUGUUUCGGGAGCUGAGCUACAACAGAGGAUCAAACAGAAUGGCCGUACCAUCAUCUCUGUAAGAUAAUUACUAUACACACACCUCCUAUCAGGGGAGGUCGUA